AUGUCAUGCAAUUGCUGGGCUAUUCUUCCUCUGCUCCACGCUGUGGUCGCUGUUGUUGCAACAAAUAUUACAGGUUUAUUGGACAUGAUGACCGGCAAGGUGAACAAGGUGGCGCGCAUCACCACCGCCCCGCGCAAGGAAACGUCAAGCCUGCAAAGGAUUAACCAAAGAAGGAACUUGAAGAAUUGGAGAAAGCUAUAG
rnacentral:rRNA from 1 species